rnacentral:rRNA from 1 species
AUUAGAUGAGCCUAUAUUAGAUUAGCUAGUUGGUGGAGUAAUAGCCUACCAAGGCAAUGAUCUAUAGCUGAUCUGAGAGGAUGAUCAGCCACACUGGAACUGAGAUACGGUCCAGACUCCUACGGGAGGCAGCAGUGGGGAAUAUUGGACAAUGGGCGAAAGCCUGAUCCAGCCAUGCCGCAUGAGUGAAGAAGGCCUUUGGGUUGUAAAGCUCUUUUAGUGAGAUAGAUAAUGACGGUACUCACAGAAGACGUCCUGGCUAACUCCGUGCCAGCAGCCGCGGUAAUACGGAGAGGGCUAGCGUUAUUCGGAAUUAUUGGGCGUAAAGGGCGCCUAGGCUGAUUAAUAAGUUAAAAGUGAAAUCCUGAGGCUUAACCUUGGAAUUGCUUUUAAAACUAUUAAUCUAGAGAUUGAAAGAGGAUAGAGGAAUUCCUGAUGUAGAGGUAAAAUUCGUAAAUAUUAGGAGGAACACCAGUGGCGAAGGCGUCUAUCUGGUUCAAAUCUGACGCUGAAGCGCGAAGGCGUGGGGAGCAAACAGGAUUAGAUACCCUGGUAGUCCACGCUAUAAACGAUGAAUGUUAAAUAUGGGAAG